CCUACGGGGGGCAGCAGUGAGGAAUAUUGGUCAAUGGCCGUAAGGCUGAACCAGCCAAGUAGCGUGAAGGAAGACGGAUCUAUGGUUUGUAAACUUCUUUUAUAGGGGAAUAAAGGUAUCCACGUGUGGAGAUUUGCAUGUACCCUAUGAAUAAGCAUCGGCUAACUCCGUGCCAGCAGCCGCGGUAAUACGGAGGAUGCGAGCGUUAUCCGGAUUUAUUGGGUUUAAAGGGUGCGUAGGGUGUUUUUUAAGUAAGCGGUGAAAGUCUGUGGCUCAACCAUAAAAUUGCCGUGGAAACUGGAAGACUUGAGUGUGUUGAACGUAGGCGGAAUGCGUGGUGUAGCGGUGAAAUGCUUAGUUAUCACGCAGAACUCCGAUUGCGAAGGCAGCUUACUAAGCCAUAACUGACACUGAAGCACGAAAGCGUGGGGAUCAAACAGGAUUAGAUACCCUUGUAGUC
rnacentral:rRNA from 1 species